GGUAACAAUUGUUACAGGUGUAUAUUUAUGUAAAUAUGACAUCGAUUCUAUUUUUAAAUUUCAAAAAGUCGACAUGUUACAGAUGACCUCAUUUGUGGAUUUUCAGUGAAUAUAUUACCAGUUUGACCUAGACUGAAAUAUAGUCUGCUCCUACAUGUAUAACAAACAAAUUUUGAAGUGGCGUUCGGACUGAUAUUUUUUCUAGAAAUUGCCAGCAACGCUUAAAAUUAAGCAGACGACAAGCUGUAUGAUCUGGCACAUGAAGCAAAUAAUACUAACGAACGUUUGGAAAGGUUUUUAGAUGCAGUGAUAAACUACAUAUAAAACGAAAUUACUAAGGACAAUGGAAAACUAUUGAUGUAUUUCUAGACAUAUACAUCUUUUUUUCCAUUGUGACAAUAUGACUAAGUUUAGUUUUAAACAGAUAGCAAUAACAAUAGAGAUUUUAAUCAUAGGUCGCAGAAAUUGAAAAGUACACUGACAAAUAUCUAUUGCUUACUUGUGAUUAAAUUAAACAACUCUAAAUGAAUUAGAAGAAAUUAGAAGAUUGAAUAUUGAAGUGCUUAUUAUUUAAGACCUUAAAAUAAGUUUUGCUUUUCUUCAUUUGAGGAAAUAACCGUAUUUACCUACUGGUUUUAUUUCUGCAAAUGUCGAAAAAUGAAAUCUACCAAGUUACCUCAUGUUAAAUGAUUAUGGCUCAGUCAAAAUUGUCAUGUGGAAGUAAGGAUACUGGUACGGACAAAGAAACUGUUGGAAAACAAAAUGUUGCUGCGGAAAGCACGAACAAGAAGGACACAGAAUCUGAAUGUUUUCACGUGGAUGACAAGCGAGAAUUAAAAUAUAAAGUGGCCCAUAGACAUCCUUUGUACCCUCCAAUACACUCCAAGCAGAAAUCUCCACCAGAAAAAAAGAAAAAGUCAUUUGGAAAAAAGUAUUGCUAACAAGAAUAGCACAGAAGUACUUUAAUUUCGAUCAUUCACAUCAUUCUCGCAUGAAUGACUGGUAUUAUAAAGACGCAGGGUCAUAUUUAUAAGAUUUGUUUUUCUUAACACGACUGAAUUAAAUAAUUUAGUUUUUAUCAAUUUCAGUUCAAAUUUUUAACUAUGCUUAUACAUAUACUUCACAGAUACUACAAUACACUGAGAUUUUAAAAGUAUAAAUGGUUAAUAAGCUUAUACUUUAGUGAAGAAUAUUUACGAAAUUUGUUUGGAUCUUUACAUCUACUAAAAAGCUUUGCAUUGUUUUGCACAGUAGCAUUUUAUCAGUUAUAACUUUUAUAAUAAAUCUUAUCGUCUAUUGAUUUUAAAACAUUUGCAGAUCUUAAAACUGAAAUCUUAUACAACCUUUUGUUUCAAUCAAUUUGCCAUUUCUUUCAUGAUGUUCUUAAAAGCUUGACACGGAAGAAAAUAGUUAUAACAUGUAGAGCUACCUUUAAACGUCCCUUAAUUAUAUUUUGAUACAAUAUUCUUUUGAUUAAAUCAUUCUUAAUAUUUUGAAUAUAUAUUUACAACUGAAAAGCUGGGCUGGCAGAAUAUGUAUAUUAAUAUGAGGAUUUUAUGUAUGCUGACAUUCUGUAGAACCAUUUUAAUAUGGACAGCGAUGUACUGAUUUCUAAAUCAUAUUGGAAACUCGCCAAUGUUUACUACAUUUUCUGAAUCGUUAAUUUGAUUCAUCAUAAAUUUGACCUACAUUCUUUUUCUUUUUUUUUUUUGUUUUGCAUUUGGAAAUAUGACACAUUCAGUGAUAGUCCAGAUAAUAUAUAUUUUAUUUUCAUAUAGUAAAAAUAGUGGGAUAAUAAGAUGGGCAAUGGUAAGAUAGUAGAAUGACAGUGGUAGGAUGAUAAGAUGACGAUGGUAAGAUAGUAGGACAUCCAUAGCUGACAAAAUGAUAUAGUGCCAUCCAACUAUCGCUAUCCUACCAUCUAACCAUCGCUUUCCUACCAUUCUCCCGUCAUAUUAUCCUACUAUCUAACAAUCGCUAUCCUACCAUCCUAAUAUCUUACCAUCCUAUUAUCCUACCAUCACUAUCCUACAUCCUACUAUCCUACCAUCGCUAUUCUACCAUCAUAUUAUUCUACCAUCGCUAUCCUACCAUCUUACUAUCGUCAUCCUACUAUCAUAUUAUCGUACUAUCGUUAUGCUACCAUCCUUCUAUCCUACCGACCUACCACCACGGGAAGAAAAGGACACAAAGAGUUGGCAGGAUAGUAGGGCAGUGGGGUGGUAGGAUAAUAUGAUGAGAAGAUAGUAAGAUGAUAGAGUAGAAUAUAAAAUAGGAGAAUGGCAAUAUCCUAUUAUCUUACCAUCGCCUAUCCUGCUUUCCUGUCGUCCUACCAUCCUACCAUUGCACACUGGUUGUAGGCGAUGGGUUAGGUAUGAUAUGUAGCAUACAGUUCAUUUUAAAUAAUAAUCUUUUUAUCGUUGUUUAAACCUUUAUUAUCAUUUGUUAGAGCGAGGUAGAAGUUAUCGUAUGCCAUAAGUUUGUUUUCUGUAUCGUUAAUUUGAAUUGUCUCAUUGUUGUGGUAUUCGUUGUCUUUACAUUGCGAUGCCUGAAUGACACUUUCAGUGAAGACAUCUUAACUGUAACUUUGUGCGAUUUAGAUUUUUUAUGUCACGAAAGUACAUUUGACUUAACUGAUAUGACAGUGCAUUAAGUCAGGAAACUAAAUGAAAAAGUGAAAUUUGUGACACAGUGCACGGAAUAUUCAAACGCACGAUGAAACUGCGACAGAGAGAAUCGUAAGCGUGUCUUACAAAAAAGGAAUUUCUGAAGAAAUACCGACAAGUUUAAGAUGUAUAAAGGCGGUAUUCUUCACUAGUAUGACACUGAGUCAAGUGUCUUCACCGAAAACAAGUAUUAUUUACUUGUCUCCAACAAUAUGAUGAUGCUAAUAGUCAUGUGGAUCAAGUAUUACCACUUCAAUUAAGAAAAAUAACUACAUUGUAUUUCGGUGGUGGGUUUCGUCGAUGAUUUAUAUUUUUCUGAUCAUUUGUUUCAGACUGCAUAACAUUCUGUAUACUAGUAUUUUGCAUGAAGCUUGAACAAUUGAUAUUUUAUGUUAAACUGUCUGAGGGAUGCCCCUUUACUAUGGAAGACCUGGAGGGACAAUCGAUUUCCGUACUUCCUACUCCUGACUUCUAACUUUUACACUUCUCACUUCCUACUUCUUGACUUCCUACUUCCUACUUCUAACUUCCACAUUUCUGACUUCUAACUUCCGGACUUCUGACUUCCAACUUCCUGACUUUCGACUUCUGAUUUCCAACUUCCACACUUCUUACUUCCUACCUCUUGACUUCUUAUUUCCUUCUUCUAACUUCCUGACUUCCGACUUCCAACUUCCGUACUUCUGACUUCCAACUUCCUGACUUCUUACUACCGACUUCCAACUUCCGUCAGAGUAUUGUGACAUUCCUCUUCGUUUACAAGAAAUAAUAUUACUAUUAAUAGCCUUAUUUACAAUACCUGAACUAGUUUGAAUAUUUGUAUGAUAUGUAAUCUCAAGAUGUUUUUAUUUGUUUUUCUUGUAAAAGAAUGUAACCUGAAUGUCUGAAAUUAUAUUUACUUAUCUACCUUAUUAGCGCGGCACACAAUGUUUAUUUAUCUUACAUUGUAUUAUCGUUUUUCAAAAGAUGAAAUGCGUGUGUUCUAGCUUUCAUGUAACUGAUUAUGCUUUUUCGAGUGUAAAAAUGUACAAUUUUUUUUUAUGGUUUUCGUGUGGUGAACAGUAUGGAAUAGCUAAGUAGUAACCCUGUUAUUUAUUUUAUCAGUAAUACUUUUAAUAGUUUAAAAAUAACAAAUGUUUCUAUAAAGUCUACACUUAAGUCACCAUUAAAACAUAAAAAUAGAAGCAAAUGCAUUAUGGGACUUACAAAAGCUAUUUACACUCACACAGAUCUUUGACCUGUAUAUAAAAUUUUGUUUUAUUAUCUGUGUGUGCAAAUUAAAUAACCCGUUGAAUUGUUUUCUGUACAAUAAGUGUUUUUGAAAUUAAUUUGAUAAUAUCUCCAAAUUCAAACAACUGUUUAUGACUGUUUUGAUUUUGCUUGGCUUUUUAAGAGCAGUAGCAAUAGAUAUCUAUUGGCGUGUUUUACUUUUGUCGCAUUAUAAUUGUAUAGGGUAAGGUAUGAUGAAUUUAGCAUUUUAAUUUGUUGCAAAUUUUUAUCUGUUGUGGUAUCUGAUUUAUCAAAUGUUUGUAUUGUAACUUAUACUGCUAAAAGUACAGAUUUCUACUGAAAUGGGUUUGAUAUGUACGUACAUGCUACUAGCAACUACUUUUAUAUUGGUUUUAUGCUGGCGUAGCAAGAGUGUAAAGGCUUGGGGUGGGCGCAUUAGAGGACCCAUCAGCUAAACCGACCCAUAUUUCUCUGAUGAGGUUUUGGUACGGUUCGACUAAUUGUUUGUGAAAUCAUUCCACUUGCCACUAAGAAAUCAAGUCAUUCUUUAAUUUUGGCUCAGUUUAUGAACCGUUAACGGGUCUAAUUUCUUAAUGUAUUUAAAUCAUUUCUUUUAUGAUAAAUGAUUACAACAUUAACUAACGAAAAUAAACAAAAUAUUUUUGUGGGGGGACUAGAGAAAAUACGCUCCAGUCUGAGCUACGGUAAAUUAGUGCAAUCGGUAACACCGCUGACCCCACAGUUACAAUAGCAUAAUGGGAUUUUCAGGCAAGGUGGUUGGGUUAAGGAGAAAUGUACCUGAGAUGUGGGAAUAAAAGAAAUGAAGAAAAUGCAUUUUAUUUGAAAACAAAUUCGUUUAUUGCAGAAUAAAGCAGUAGACUUGAUACUUGAUGAAGUUAGGUGACAAGAAUUUGUGGGUAAUGUAAUAUAUAAAUGUCUGAAAUUAACACGACAGUAUUCUUCAGUUGUCAAACUUUGAUUAUGGUCACUAAACAAUAUAAUUAUACACCAUCAAGAAAGAAAUGUUGAGUUGCCCCGGAUAAGGUUUUCAAAAAAAGGAAGAUUAUCAAAAACUAUGACCACCUAGAGUUAUAAGAUUCCUUGUCACUGCAUUUGCCCUUACUGACCUCUAUCAGUAUGUGAAGUAUGAAGUUAAUACCUUACAUAGAUAUCAAGUAUGCCACGGUCAAGGUUUUCAAAAAAGGGAGAUUAGUAAAAAAUCGGACUACCUAGAGUUAUGAUUCCUUAUUACUGCACUUCCUCUACAUGAGCUCUAUCAUACAAUUUGUAAAAAGAUUUAAAAAGGACAGAUUGACGACGGGAGGACAUAUUCCACUCUCCGGGGAGCAUAAAAAAGGACUAUGUUUUGCUUCAAACUAAGUCAUGAAAUAUAGAAGCAGAACUUCGAGCAUCUCGAAUAGGUGCAGUUGUAAAAUUAAAAAUGUUUGAAACCCAUUCUUUAUAGUGUGAACUUAUUUCUUUAUUUUACUUACAUCAAAAAUAUA